rnacentral:rRNA from 1 species
UACGGGGGGGGCAAGCGUUGUUCGGAAUUACUGGGCGUAAAGGGCUCGUAGGUGGCCAACUAAGUCAGACGUGAAAUCCCUCGGCUUAACCGGGGAACUGCGUCUGAUACUGGAUGGCUUGAGUUUGGGAGAGGGAUGCGGAAUUCCAGGUGUAGCGGUGAAAUGCGUAGAUAUCGGGAGGAACACCAGUGGCGAAGGCGGCGAUCUGGGUGGAUACUGACGCUGAGGUGCGAAAGCGUGGGGAGCAAACAGG